rnacentral:lncRNA from 1 species
AUGAAGUCCAUAUUUAAUAUACAUGAAUUCCUGAGGUGGAAAAGCCAGCCUGUCUCCCAAGGUGCCACACGAUCCCACGUCUGCUCCUCUGUUUCAGGAAUUGGCCAUCCUGAGGUGGAGCUGAGGAUUUUUCUGUUGGCCAGAGCCGGGUGGGAGCAGCUCUGGCCCCUGUGCAGGGUGAUCCCAACAGCAUCUUCCACUGCCAGGGGCACCCAGAUCCCAAAUUUCUGCUCCCACAUGGUGUGGGCACAGUGGAUGUAGCCCUGCCCCUUUCACUGCCAUUCCCUCUGCUUACACAUUUAAUCACUGCCCAUUGUGGUCCUUCCAGUGCUGUCUGGCUCAACUUUGGCUGAAAAACCACACAAAAUUCACCAAAACAUAAGCAGCAAAAUUAUUUUUCAGUAAAAACUUUCAGGUGUGUGGGUCAGUGGGGCCUGAGGAGUUUUUUGGUGCAUAUGGUUUUGAAUCAGGUUCAGAUUUGCUGUUCAGGGAUUAAAAAUCCCUCUCAAACCUUUGAGAAGUCUGUUUAAAUGCAGACAGUUAAAUUCUGUUCAUCCUCACUAAUUCAGGCAUGCACAAAUGCACAACAGGUUAGUGACUUUUAAUAUUGAUUAAAUACAAAUGCUGCAUUUAGUAAAACACCUUGUUCUAAACUGGACCUGGAUUCCUCUAUAAAGUUCCAUUUUUCUCUGUUUUUGGAAUUGAAUUCAUACCAAAAAAAAAUCGUGGAGUAGAACAUUCUACAAUUGGAUGAUCUUUAUAGAAGCAAGUUUACUGGGGAUUGUUGCUCUGAUAACUUUCCUCUGGCAGUGUUUUGAGCCCAAAUUUAAAAUCUAGGUUGUUCCAAGCCUGAUCCAACCUGGCCUUGGGCACUUCCAGGGAUGGGGCAGCCACAGCUUCUCUGGGCACCUGUGCCAGGGCCUGCCCACCCUCACAGGGAAGAAUUUUUUUCUUAAUAUCUAAUCUAAACCUACUCCCUUUCAGUCUGAAGCCAUUUCCCCUUGUUCUGUCACUACACACUCCUGUAAAAAAUCCCCCUCCAUCUUUCCUGUUGCUGUCCUUUAGCAUCUGAUUCCAAAAAGAGAUUUUGCAGCUACAAG